AGGUCUGCCCAUGGGCACAGGCCAUUGGUCUCAACUACGUAUGGUUUGCCCUGUAAUGCCUUCCGAAAGGCCAGCUGAAAAGAUUGAUAGUCGAGAGCAGAGGACCUGAGGCACCUGAUCCACAGACCAGACACUCAGGAGGCUUCUUUGUCCUUCUGAAGUACAGGCCAAGUUUUGGUGUUCAUCAAAUGAGUGACAGGCUAUCACAUCUACUGCAAAAAUAUAUGGCACUUCCCUCUCCACCUCCACAGUGGGCGGUGAAAAUUAAUUGAGUUCAGGCUGUGAAAAACUUAAGCUGCUAUAUGAAAUGCAAAAUCAUUAAGCAUCAGAGGUUGUAAUAUUCUGCUUGUGGCCUUGGGACUGAAACACCAGAUGUUGUGCCCAAUAAUGACUUCACUUCUCAUCCAGCUUCAAUAACUCAAGAUUGAGUGCAUUUGGGGUUUUGACCUUGCACUGCUAUACCGAGAUUCAGCAGAGGCUAACUACCCCCAAGACUCCUUCCAGAGAACUGGGACCUCAGGAUCAUCUUCAACAUCUUCACAGAGAGUAUGGAGACAAAGCCCUUGCCACAGAGACCCACCAUGCCACAACACCAGGUGGAGACGCACCAUUGCUUGAGUUGGUCCACCAUGAAAGUUGCCAUAGAAGCCUGAAGUUACCACAGCUUAUAAGGAAGUGGUUAUUGAUUAUGAUGGAUGAAGAAAGUGGCAAAUGUGGCUGAAAGUGGACAUUUUUGCUUUGACAACUCCAUCUGCUCCUCCUCUAUGAAAGCUCCAUCUAGGGCCGGGUACAGUGGCUCAUGUCUGUAAUCAACACUUUGGGAGGCCAAGAGAUGCCCAGGUCCCAAAGGUAGUAUUUCCAUGAUUUGAUGGGUUGCUGCUGCACCUGUCUGAUUUG